UUUGAAGAUGUCAAAUGGUAAGUGGUUUGUCUUUCAUAAAACUUUGUGUCAUAAAAAUUUGACUAUUUUAAAAUAAAUCCCAGUUCAAUGUUUCUUUAAUUCAUGUCUUCACCAAUUUCUAUGAGUAAUAAACACUUAAAGAGCUUAGAAUCAAAUGGACAUUUUAUUUAAGAAGCAGGUAGAUUAAAUAUUAUGAAAAUAUAGUUAGGCCAAUGAUAGACCUUAUAUGCACGAAGAAACACGCAUGCAUACGCGCACAAAUAAUAUAAAUGUCAUUGUGAAAAUAUUACAAUACCAGAGCAAAUAAAUGUUUGGAAAUCAUUUAGUAGAAAAUGUUAAAAUAUAAAUGAAAUUUAUGUGGUUGUAAUAUAACGACUGAGGUUCUCGAAAAAAAUAUAAGAAGGUUUGUAUUCUAUGAGAGGGUUGACGGAUGUCAAUGUAAAUCUUCAAAUUGUCAUCUAAUAUAUGCAAGAAUUUUUUGCUUUUUGUUUGUAGCUCACCGUUUAUGAGGUUUUUUGAGGUUUUUCUGUCAGAAGUAAACACUUAAUAAAGCUUAGAACCAAAUGGACAUUUUGAUUGAGAAGCAGUUAGAUUAAAUAUUACGAAAAUAUAGUUAUGUCAUGAAUGAUAGACCGUAGAUGUACGAAAAAACAUGCAUCCAUACACGCACAAAACAUUCCGAAAAUUUACUAUAUAAGAAAAAAACAGAUGUUUGGAAAUCUUCUAGUAGAAAAUAGUUAAACUAUAAAUGAAAUUUAUGUGGUUGUAAUAUAACGACUGUGGUUCUCGAAGAAAAUAUAAGAAGCUCACCGUUUAUGAGGUUUUUUGAGGUCUUUCUGUCAGUAGUAAACAAUUAAUAAAGCUUAGAACCAAAUGGCCAUUUUGAUUGAGAAGCAGGUAGAUUAAACAUUACGAAAAUAUAGUUAUGUCAUGAAUGAUAGACCGUAGAUGUACGAAAAAACAUGCAUCCAUACACGCACAAAACAUUCCGAAAAUUUUACUAUAUAA